rnacentral:rRNA from 1 species
UACAGAGGGUGCGAGCGUUAAUCGGAAUUACUGGGCGUAAAGCGUGCGUAGACGGCUAUCUAAGUCGGGUGUGAAAGCCCCGGGCUCAACCUGGGAAUUGCAUUCGAGACUGAAUAGCUAGGGCGCGGCAGAGGGAAGCGGAAUUUCCGGUGUAGCGGUGAAAUGCGUAGAUAUGCGGAGGAACACCGGAUGGCGAAGGCAAUCCCCUGGGCCUGCACUGACGCUCAUGACACGAAAGCGUGGGGAGCAAACAGG